rnacentral:RNase_P_RNA from 2 species
GCAGGUAGAACGUGGUCGCUUUGCCUUUGGCAAAGAGGAAAGUCCGGGCUCCGGAGGAUAGCGUAAUGGGUAACGCCCAUCUCGCGAAUGCAAAUUCGCGAAGGACAACCCCUCGCGCCUUCGAAACAAUGAAUGGCGCUCGGGGCCCUUGCCAUAACUCCUAGCGGGCUUGGGGCGCGAGAGCCACAGAGACGAGCCCUUGCGGCUUUGUUUUGCGAGCCGGCAAGGGGUGAAACGCGGCAAUCUCUACGCGGAGCAAGGUGAAAUAGGAGACGAGCUAGAUCCGGCUUCUUUUUGCCUGCUUGUAAUAGCAGGGAAAAAGACGUCUCGGGUAAACUGCUUGAGCCCCGGAAGCGAUUUCGGGGUCGAGAGAAAUGACCACUAACAGAUGCGGAUAAUCGUAUCAAUACAGAACCCGGCUUAUUCUACCUGCCUGU